UACGGAGGGGGCUAGCGUUGUUCGGAAUUACUGGGCGUAAAGCGUGCGUAGACGGUAGCGUAAGUCAGAUGUGAAAGCCCCGGGCUCAACCUGGGAACUGCAUUUGAGACUGCUCUGCUCGGGUGCGGAAGAGGGAAGCGGAAUUUCCGGUGUAGCGGUGAAAUGCGUAGAUAUCGGAAGGAACACCAGUGGCGAAAGCGGCUUCCUGGUCCGACACCGACGUUCAGGCACGAAAGCGUGGGGAGCAAACAGG
rnacentral:rRNA from 1 species